rnacentral:rRNA from 1 species
UACGGAGGGGACUAGCGUUGUUCGGAAUUACUGGGCGUAAAGCGCACGUAGGCGGAUUUGUAAGUCAGGGGUGAAAUCCCGGGGCUCAACCUCGGAACUGCCUUUGAUACUGCAAAUCUCGAGUCCGGAAGAGGUGAGUGGAAUUCCUAGUGUAGAGGUGAAAUUCGUAGAUAUUCGCAAGAACACCAGUGGCGAAGGCGGCUCACUGGCCCGGUACUGACGCUGAGGUGCGAAAGCGUGGGGGGCAAACAGG